GAUGAACGCUGGCGGCGUGCCUAAUACAUGCAAGUCGAGCGAACAGACGAGGAGCUUACUCCUCUGACGUUAGCGGCGGACGGGUGAGUAACACGUGGAUAACCUACCUAUAAGACUGGGAUAACUUCGGGAAACCGGAGCUAAUACCGGAUAAUAUAUUGAACCGCACGGUUCAAUAGUGAAAGACGGUUUUGCUGUCACUUAUAGAUGGAUCCGCGCCGCAUUAGCUAGUUGGUAAGGUAACGGCUUACCAAGGCAACGAUGCGUAGCCGACCUGAGAGGGUGAUCGGCCACACUGGAACUGAGACACGGUCCAGACUCCUACGGGAGGCAGCAGUAGGGAAUCUUCCGCAAUGGGCGAAAGCCUGACGGAGCAACGCCGCGUGAGUGAUGAAGGUCUUCGGAUCGUAAAACUCUGUUAUUAGGGAAGAACAAAUGUGUAAGUAACUAUGCACGUCUUGACGGUACCUAAUCAGAAAGCCACGGCUAACUACGUG
rnacentral:rRNA from 1 species